UACGUAGGGUGCAAGCGUUAAUCGGAAUUACUGGGCGUAAAGCGUGCGCAGGCGGUUUUGUAAGUCUGUCGUGAAAUCCCCGGGCUCAACCUGGGAAUUGCGAUGGAGACUGCAAGGCUGGAAUCUGGCAGAGGGGGGUAGAAUUCCACGUGCAGCAGUGAAAUGCGUAGAUAUGUGGAGGAACACCGAUGGCGAAGGCAGCCCCCUGGGUCAAGAUUGACGCUCAUGCACGAAAGCGUGGGGAGCAAACAGG
rnacentral:rRNA from 1 species